CCUACGGGAGGCAGCAGUAGGGAAUCUUCCACAAUGGGCGAAAGCCUGAUGGAGCAACGCCGCGUGGGUGAAGAAGGUCUUCGGAUCGUAAAACCCUGUUGUUAGAGAAGAAAGAGCGUGAGAGUAACUGUUCACGUUUCGACGGUAUCUAACCAGCAAGCCACGGCUAACUACGUGCCAGCAGCCGCGGUAAUACGUAGGUGGCAAGCGUUAUACGGAUUUAUUGGGCGUAAAGGGAACGCGGGCGGUCUUUUAAGUCUGAGGUGAAAGCCUUCGGCUUAACCGGAGUAGUGCAUUGGAAACUGGGAGACUUGAGUGCAGAAGAGGAGAGUGGAACUCCAUGUGUAGCGGUGAAAGGCGUAGAUAUAUGGAAGAACACCAGUGGCGAAAGCGGCUCUCUGGUCUGUAACUGACGCUGAGGUUCGAAAGCGUGGGUAGCAAACAGGAUUAGAUACCCCAGUAGUC
rnacentral:rRNA from 1 species